GAUUGAGUUUGAUCCUGGCUCAGAUUGAACGCUGGCGGCAUGCCUUACACAUGCAAGUCGAACGGUAACGCGGGGCAACCUGGCGACGAGUGGCGAACGGGUGAGUAAUAUAUCGGAACGUGCCCAGUAGUGGGGGAUAGCCCGGCGAAAGCCGGAUUAAUACCGCAUACGACCUACGGGUGAAAGGGGGGGAUCGCAAGACCUCUCGCUAUUGGAGCGGCCGAUAUCAGAUUAGGUAGUUGGUGGGGUAAAAGCCCACCAAGCCAACGAUCUGUAGCUGGUCUGAGAGGACGACCAGCCACACUGGGACUGAGACACGGCCCAGACUCCUGCGGGAGGCAGCAGUGGGGAAUUUUGGACAAUGGGCGCAAGCCUGAUCCAGCCAUGCCGCGUGCGGGAAGAAGGCCUUCGGGUUGUAAACCGCUUUUGUCAGGGAAGAAAUCCCUUGAGCUAAUACCUCGGGGGGAUGACGGUACCUGAAGAAUAAGCACCGGCUAACUACGUGCCAGCAGCCGCGGUAAUACGUAGGGUGCAAGCGUUAAUCGGAAUUACUGGGCGUAAAGCGUGCGCAGGCGGUCGUGCAAAACAGAUGUGAAAUCCCCGGGCUCAACCUGGGAACUGCAUUUGUGACUGCACGGCUAGAGUACGGUAGAGGGGGAUGGAAUUCCGCGUGUAGCAGUGAAAUGCGUAGAUAUGCGGAGGAACACCGAUGGCGAAGGCAAUCCCCUGGACCUGUACUGACGCUCAUGC
rnacentral:rRNA from 1 species